UCCUCCUACCCUUCCUCCAGUUCCGCCCCCUCCUUCUCCGCUUCCUAACGCCCUCUUGUAGCACUCCGCACACCCUCCGCACUUUCACCUCCCUCCACCCGGCGCCCUCUGGCACUCUCCUUCGCUGUGCUCCUAGGUCUCUUCUCCGUCUCUUCGAAAGACCCCCACACCUUCUCGGGCCCCAUCUCCCUCCCACGUCUCACUGUUACCUAGCACGCCCCUCUGCACGCCCUUCCCUCUGCAGUCUCUUUCCUUUCGCCCUUUCUCCGCUCUCUCCGCGACCCCUUUCCCUCCCCCAAACGUCUCCACUUCCCUUGGGCACUGUCGCUUUUGGGAAGGGCUCUGGCUGACUUGGGAGGAGGAGGAUUUUUUUAAAAUUUUAUUUAUUUAUUUUUAGAGAGAGGGGAAGGGAGGGAGAAAGAAAGGGAGAGAAACAUGAUAGGUUGCUUCUCCCACGGGCCCCAACCUAGGCAUGUGCCCUGACCUGGAGUCAAUGAGCGACCUUUCAGUUUGUAGGACGACUCUCAACCAACUGAGCCACACCAGUCAGGGCUGAAGAGAGGAUUUGCAUCCCCGCAAGGCUUGCUGAGUCCCAUGUGGACUUGGCCAAGGCCAUACUCGUCCUGGGCUGAGUCCCCAGGUAGCACCAGGAGGGAGCUGGAAACUUGCCUAACUCAAGACAAUUUGCCGAGGGUAGAGUCCUCUGCAGUGACCCAGCUGCUUUUCUUUUCGUUUUGAUGAAAGAAAAGAAGAAACACUACUCACGUUCAUUCAAAAGUGUUUAAAAAUACAAACUGUACAAAGUAAAGAGUGAAAGGCCACCCUGGCUGGUGUGACUCAGUGGAUUGAGCAUCAUCCCGAGAACCAAAGCGUCACCGGUGGGAUUUCCGGUCUAGGGCACGUGCCUGAGUUGGGCCGGGCCCUCAGUAGGGGGCCUGCCUAAGGCAACCUCAAAUUUUUGUUUUCUCCCUCUUUUUGCCCCUCCCUCCCCCUGUCUAAAAAUAAAUAAAGGAAAAUUCUUAAAAAAGUGAAAGGCCCACCUCAUUCACUAAGUAUUCAUAGAGCUCCUGCUCUAGAUAAGGACUGGUGCUGUGGAGGCAAAGACAACAGUGGUGUCCUGGACAGUGAGGGGUGCUAGGUGGAGGCGCAGCGGGUCUUUGAAUGAGAUGGUCAGAAGAGGAGUGAAGAUCUGCAUGGCAGCCAGGCGGAAGAUUAAAGGACAUGUAAGGAACUGGCAAGCGCAGAGGUUCUGCCUUCCUCUUAACUUUUUCAGAAGAGAAAUGGGGGAUUCGUGUGUUACG